AAAUCCGGUUGAUCCUGCCGGAGGCUACCGCUAUUGGAGUUCGAUUAAGCCAUGCGAGUCGAGAGUCUUAGGGACUCGGCGUACCGCUCAGUAACACGUGGGUAACCUGCCCUAUGCUGGGGAAUAACCUCGGGAAACUGAGAAUAAUGCCCCAUAGUCCACCAUGCCUGGAACGGUUGGUGGAUCAAAGCCCCGGCGGCAUAGGAUGGGCCUGCGGCGUAUCAGGUCGUAGGGGGUGUAACGUACCCUCUAGCCAUCGACGCGUACGGGUGUUGGGAGACAUAGCCCGGAGAUGGAUUCUGAGACACGAAUCCAGACCCUACGGGGUGCAGCAGGCGCGAAAACUUGGCAAUGCGAGAAAUCGUGACCAGGGAACUCCAAGUGGCUGGGGUAAGACCCAGUCUUUUCUUGACUCUUAAACGGUCUUGGAAUAAGGGGUGGGUAAGGACGGUGCCAGCCGCCGCGGUAAUACCGGCGCCUCAAGUGGUAGUCGAUUUUAUUGGGCCUAAAACGUCCGUAGCCUGUUUGGUACAUUCGUGGGUAAAUCAACCAGCUUAACUGAUUGAAUUCUGCGAGCACGGCCAGACUUGGGACCGGGAGAGGUGUGGGGUACGCUCAGGGUAGGGGUAAAAUCCUGUCAUCCUGAGCGGACCACCUGUUGCGAAGGCGCCACACUAGAACGGAUCCGACGGUCAGGGACGAAGCCUAGGGGCACGAACCGGAUUAGAUACCCGGGUAGUCCUAGGUGUAAACGCUGUGGACUUGAUGUUGGGGGCGCUCCGAGCGCUUUCAGUGUCGAAGCGAAGGUGAUAAGUCCACUGCCUGGGGAGUACGGUCGCAAGGCUGAAACUUAAAGGAAUUGGCGGGGGAGCACCGCAACCUGAGGAUUGUGCGGUUUAAUUGGAUUCAACGCCGGAAAACUCACCAGUGCCGACGGACAAAUGAAAGCCAGUUUGAUGAGCUUGCUGGAUUGUUCGAGAGGUAGUGCAUGGCCGUCGUCAGUUCGUACCGUAAGGCGUUCUGUUAAGUCAGAUAACGAACGAGACCUCCGUCACCAUUUGCUAUCUUCUUCUCCGGAAGGGGAGCACUAUGGUGGUACCGCCACUGUUAAAGUGGAGG
rnacentral:rRNA from 1 species